CUUUGUGUUGGAAGUGUCUUUCAAAUUCAAUGGCUGUAAAAUAAUUAAAGAGCAAUUAUUUCUUGGUGUGGGGAAAAAAAUUCAAGUAAAGAAGAUUCUAAUCCUGUCCUGGUUUAAUUCAUUGGCAAAGUUUCCAUAACAUACCAUGGAUAUAAGCUUAUAUUGAUCACCAUAGUGAGAAAUGAGAAGUAAAUGCACUUCAGCUGGGUUAUACACCACGGAAGUCUUAGGGAGCCAAGCUGAGUAACACUUCUGGCAUGUUAUGCAUUGGACGUUACCCAUGCUUAAGGACUUGUUUCUUACAGAGGAAAAUAGCUUACUCCAUCUUCUCAGCUAUUGUUGUUUGAAAUAAGCUUUCAUUCUUUAAAAAUAUAUGGCAUUCUAGUAUCACCUGACAUUUGUGUUUUCUGAGAACUGACGCUCAUAUUCUGUGUAUGACAACCUAGCCACUCCUGUUGCGAACUUUUGCUUCAGUUUGCAAAUUUUCUCAUGCUUUUGUCUGCAAAUCUAAUACAAAAGUUAAAACCAGAGCAAGAGCCAAGAAUUAAUCCAAGAUUUCAACAUCUAGGUUGUAGUUUUGAAGGACACAGAAACCUGCCUGACCUAAUAAAACCUGUCUGCUUUAGUAACGAGUCAUUAUUAUACAACCAGGUAGUUGCUUGUCCAAUUUUGAAAUAUUUUUCCCUGAUAUUUGAAGAUGACAGUGAAUGGUAAACCUGACAUAUAAUAUUAUACCUACACAAUAAAAAAUCUUCAAACUUACAAACAGAAACAGCCAGCUGGAGACUGUCGGGAAGGUCAUUACCAUGUGUUACCGAGGAGGGGCUGCAGUGUUAGCUGCCAGUUUUCACGUAGAUGAGUCAGGCCCAUCAGAAUGUACAAUUUCCUAAUGCUAAUUGAGUUCAGUUGUUUAAGCCCUUUUAUUUUGUUGGGUACCUCUUUUAAAUGGAAAGAAUAAGACCUUGGUAAAUAUUAAUUUGACAAAGAAAGUGUAUGUAUAGCCAGUGUAGCUCCUUCUGAGAAUGCCUUUAAUCCUGUUACUGAUAGCUAAAUGGUAUAGAAUGUCAUUUAACUACACUGCAGAAAAGAAAACCACAACAGGUACCCAUGUGUCUAAACAAAUACUGGAAGUCUUAGAAAUCACAUGGGUGAAGUGGAAUAUCUAUCCUCAGUGGGGAUAUGAGGUUAACAGUCAUUUUGGAAAGUUGGUGGGAGGCAAUCAGACAGACGUGAAUACCAUAGUGCGAAGUAUGCUGGAAAUCUGGAGUAGUAAAUGCUGAAUCUGGAGUAGGAUAUGCUGAUGGUUUCAUAGUGCUAUAAGAAAAGAAGGGUCCUUUUUCUUUCUUUUUUUUUUUUUAAUCAAAUCAGCUCAGUAAGCUAACUAUGCCAGUGACUAAUACAGAGUCUUCAUGGCCUCAAGGUGCAGGGGUAAGAGGGAAAAAUACUGCAUUAAGUCUCAGGCCCUCCAGAAAACAAAAUGACUGCAGUAUGCUGAGCAUGAUCUUCUGAGGACAUGAAACAGUAAGAGGGCAUUUCAACUGCUAUGUAAAACAGGACAAUGUCAUGUGAGGGCAUGCCAGCGAUACCGAGUAUUCAAACAUUAUCAAUGCGUGCUUCAUAAAUCAAGAGGUUAGAGAGGCUGCAUGAGGAAAAGCAACUUUUGAUUUCAGCUUGGGUGUCACGCAUGCUCUGUUUCAAAAUGCUACAGUCUAAAGUCUGGUUUAUAAGAGCAACCACCAGGUACUGAUAUUGAGCAACUCUGUAGGACCAAAAAAGCCAAAGAGUACACCAUAGCUAUAGUCUCCAGAAAGGAGAAAUACAUAUAUAUGAGAAAACUUCCUUAAAAAAUAAACAAAAGUACAAAAGUUGAAUUAUCAGGAGCAUUCUGGGAGCUCUUUAGGGACACCAUUUUGGAGAUACAGAAAAACUGAAAAACCUGAAAGGUCUGAAGAUAUUUUUACAAAAUAUUUUAUUUUCACUGAAAGUGUAUUUUCUAUUGAGGGUAAAGGAUAUGAAUGAAAAAUGCUGACCAGCUACUUCAACUAAUAUAUAGUGCCACAUCCCUUUCGUCUUUCAGUGUAAAAUAUUUUUAUUUCUCUUCUUCCGUAGUCCAAGGUCAUUCAUGUCAUCCCCCAUAUUGUAGCCAGAUACACAUUUCUUGGUGUUUUUUUAAGAUGGAUUAUUUCACUGAUAAGGUUUUACUGCAGUCCCACAACCAAUUUUAUCAGCCCAGGGAGCGAUGGAAUAAGACUGAACAGCCAGAUUAGGGAAAAAGGGAGGUUUUGCAAAACUCUCUUCCAAAGGAUAACUGAGUUAAAAACCAAGUAACAUUACCAAAGUUCCUAGUUGGAAUACCUCGCUGGCUUAUAGAAUUAUGUAUUACUUGACAGUAUCUGCUUGCUUUCUUUCAGCUUCUGAUUUUAAAAUAAGGCAGCAGAGCUUGAUGAACAAGGAGGAAAAUAAUAUCCUGGCCACACACGUCUUUUAAUGCUGCAAGAGUGGUGGCAAGGCACACUGCAUGGUAGAAGGUAGCCUCUGAGAUUCUCAAAAUGUCUUCCGAUUUAUGGAUGGAACAUGGAGUCUUUGGAUGAUAUGUCAAAAAAUGAAUUAUUGUUUUUGAUUGGUUUCCUUUUUUUAAUUGUUUUCCUCCUUGAGGUCAUCAUUCAAAAUCCAUUAAAAUUUCUUUCCCUCA